AAGAAAACAAAAAACGAAGAUUCACAUCACAAACUUAACACUCUUAAGAUAAGAGGAGACCGAUUUGAUUUCUAGCUUCAUCCGCGGAACCUUAAGAUAGAUAGAUAGAUUAGCCGCCGAAGCCAUAGAGGGUGCGUCCCUGGCGCUUCAGUGCGUAGACGACGUCCAUGGCCGUGACCGUCUUCCGGCGGGCGUGCUCGGUGUAGGUGACGGCGUCACGGAUGACGUUCUCCAAGAAGAUCUUCAGCACCCCGCGGGUCUCCUCAUAGAUGAGGCCGCUGAUGCGCUUCACACCGCCGCGGCGGGCGAGGCGGCGGAUGGCCGGCUUGGUGAUGCCCUGGAUGUUGUCGCGGAGGACCUUGCGGUGACGCUUCGCUCCGCCCUUUCCGAGCCCCUUUCCGCCCUUGCCACGGCCUGACAUUGCUACUGCUGCUGAGUUGAGAUUGAAGGAG
rnacentral:misc_RNA from 1 species